CUCACCUCUCCAUCAUAAGUUUUGAAGAAACCCCCUCCCCCCCUUCUUCCAGCCGCCACUUUCUUUUCUUCUACUGCCACUCCUCAGCCAUCGCCUGCCUGAAAAUCGUCCGGCCUCUCCUUCGCGCGCGCCCUCCGCUGAACGGUCUAGUCAGUAGUCAAGCCUCUAGCUAGUCAGACCUGCGUCCCACCGCUCCGUCUGCCAAGGGCCGAAGCCGAACGACGACCCAACCCAGCCGUCGCGCCUUCGCCGCCGGUUCGCUCCUCCAACCGUCUGCCCGUGCCGUUCUUCGAUUGGGCCAACGACCUUCUUUAUCUAAGGCACUGCCCAGCCCCUGCUGCCUUCGAUCGCUGCUGGUUCUAUGGUUGGGUAAGUUGUUUAACGUAUCGGUUAAUUGUAGGGUCAUCUACUUGAUUUUUGGUUGGAUGCUAGGAUUGGAGUUUGAAGGAGAUUUCGUGCGCUGUCCAGCGACUGUUGAAGUUUCUUUUGCGGAGAUUUUUGAUUGGUGCUUGGGAGUGGUGGAACUACCUUUGGAACCAAGCACAUUUUUUGGGUUGAUUCAAGCCUUCCAAAGGCCGUGAGAAUAUUAGUUGUGUGGACUAGAAUUUGCGACCAAUUUUUGAGGAUUCACCAGUUUUGUGGAGGAUGUUUCCUUUGGGAUUCACCAAUUUUGUGGGCAUACUUAACUACAAUAGGAUAGGACUCAAUCUCUUGUCUGUUUCAUGUGCUUAUGUGCCAUAGGAAAAGGUAAAGAUGUAUCGACGAUGGCACAGUAGAAUUCGUGAUCGUGUCACUGGGACUAGACCUCUUUGCUUCCGCAUCUUGAAAUCUGUUAUUUGGUUUUACUGUUUAAAAUUUAUUACUAAGGAUUAUUUCUUUUAUAUGCCUUUGAUUAGCUUUUAAGAAUUUUGGGUACCCUAUUAACUUUUUUAACAAUUGCAUUUAAUAAACGUCUUAUGAAUCUUGUUUAA